AUUGAACGCUGGCGGCAGGCCUAACACAUGCAAGUCGAGCGGAGCGGCGGACGGGUGAGUAAUGGCUAGGAAUCUGCCUGGUCGUUGUGGAUCACGUCCGGAAAUGGGCGCUAAUACCGCAUACUAUCAGAUGAGCCUAGGUUGGAUUAGCUAGUUGGUGGGGUAAGUGCCUACCAAGGCGACGAUCCGUAACUGGUCUGAGAGGAUGAUCAGUCACACUGGAACUGAGACCCGGUCCAGACUCCUAUGGGAGGCAGCAGUGGGGAAUAUUGGACAAUGGGCGAAAGCUGGAUCCAGCCAUGCCGCGUGUGUGAAGAAGGUCUUCGGAUUGUAAAGCACUUUAAGUUGGGAGGCGUUACCAACAGAAUAAGCACCGGCUAACUUCGUGCCAGCCGCCGCGGUAAUUC
rnacentral:rRNA from 1 species